rnacentral:rRNA from 1 species
UACGGAGGGUGCAAGCGUUAUCCGGAUUUACUGGGUUUAAAGGGUGCGUAGGUGGACAUUUAAGUCAGCGGUGAAAUCUCCGGGCUUAACUCGGAAAUUGCCAUUGAUACUAUUUGUCUUGAAUUAUCUGGAGGUGAGCGGAAUAUGUCAUGUAGCGGUGAAAUGCUUAGAUAUGACAUAGAACACCAAUUGCGAAGGCAGCUCACUACGGAUACAUUGACACUGAGGCACGAAAGCGUGGGGAUCAAACAGG